GACAGUUUUCAGAGUGCUCGUCAAGUGUGAGAAUUUAUUUUGAGACAUCAGGAAUGUGUGAAUUGCUUCUUCAUUAUUAACUACUUCUAAAUAUCAUGCUCAACCCCCUUUUUUUAAGCUAAGUGGGGUUUCUAAUAACCUCAGUUUGGGGAAGAAGAGGUACUUCAUGUCAGUAGUCCAAAUUUACUCUGCAAAACAAAGGAUUAAAUUUUGCCCAUCCAAAGCAGUCCUUGUUCUGAGGGUGCCGUGGCAGCUGCUGCUGAAGGCCAAGCUGCAGGGGGAUUUCCUGCACGGGGCUGAAGCGAGCUGGCAGAGCAGUGUGUAGGAGGUGUAACACAUAGCUCGAUUUCCCGAUUUCCCGGGCCAGGGAGCUGGAGCUGCUCACUUUGCUCCAAGCUUAGGAGCAUGGUGCUGCUGCUGCUGUGCCUCAAUCCUGAAUCAGAUCACAGAGCUUGUUUGCAUGGCUGGGGACAUGUCUCAGGUCAGCGUCCAGAGACCACGUGCCUGUGUCUUUCAGAACACACACGACCUGGAGCACACUGCAUUUCUAAAAUCUUUAACAAAUCACUAGCAGCCUUGCUUGGACAACUUCCAAAGCACAUUCUGUUGCUGCUGCUUUUCUUAGGUGUACUUCUGGAAACUACAUUUCCUUGGUCUGUGUUAUAAAGUAGCAUUUUUAUAUGUCAUUUGCCUUAUUCCCCUCCCUCUGCCAUAUGGAGACAGAGAAUUAAGGUCAUGUUUCCAGAAGGGUGUUGCUCAUAAUGGCACAGAGGGUUCAGAAAAAAGCAGAAUGGCAAACAAACUCCCAGCCUGGAGAAACGUGGACUUUUUCCCAAGCCUAUUAAGAACUAGCAGUAUCAUUGUCAGGAGCUUAGUGCCCCAGUCUUUGCCUUCGGCCCGCCAUGCUGCUUAGCCACGUGUACCAUGGAUUCAGCAGGACCAUGUGUCUACACUGUCUACAGCAAGAGGGUAAUUCCUACAGUGCAUUUGGAUAUUGUUAGCUAUGGGUUUCAAAGGCACCGAGAACAUGCAGGCUGCAAUACAAAAUCUGGUGAAAACAGCUGAUGUUACUGUUUCAUUCCAUGAGACCUAUGGAUGUGAAAAGCAGUGUAGGAUUUUUCUCCCGUUUUCAGUAAUUGUUUUCCUCAUUUCCUCUUCAGUGAAACAUGCUGUAUUUCAUGCAAGUGUUUUAAAAGGCUGUCGCGUGUUUCCUUUAACUUCAACCCACUUACAGAGGUGAAAAAGUGAAAAGCCCUUCGACUAAGAAGAAAGUAAAUAGCUACUAUGUUCCUCUAAUAAUUUUCAGAUAAAACACCCACUGUGGAUUGUGAUUAAAAUUAGUUUUCCUUUAAUGGGGAUGCAACUACAACUGCAGCAUGUCACAUUUACAUCCAAAAUUAAUUAAAUUAAUUAAGCUUCAACAGCAAUAAGCCUCCGGAAAUUUUUAUUUCCAGAGUUCCCUGGAGCACUGCAUUUCAAACAAGAAUGCAGCAAGGCUUUGGAUGCUGGAGGGGCGGCAUCACAUGCUGUCUUGAAUGUUGCUGUUCUGCAGCGGGUGGAAAUUUUUUUUUCUAAAACAUGACAUUUUUUAUCACUCUGGGAAUGUGAAGCCAACACAUUUAAGGAAAUUGCUUGCAUAUAAAGUACACCAAAUCAGCUGGUAAUCCUGGCCACACAUCAGAAACAUCGGCGUGGAGCCUCUCACAUUGUCUCUGCUGAUCUGUGCCCAUCUAAACCGGCACAGCCAUUAUCAGUGCGCUUCCACAGGAAAGGUAUUGACUCCUCCUAACCCACUUCCCUCUGGAAGAAUUGCAUCUGCUUUAGCACUCCAAAACACUGACCCUAAAGGGCAUCUUCACAUUCACAUUUUUGCUUGUGUGCUUUUGUUAAAGUCAUGCUCUAUUAAAAAAAAUGCAGGAGGUGAGACUCCCAGUUACGGAAAACAGCUACCACUGUAACUUCAGAGUAACAAUUAAAACGACUGAUGUUCAGACCUGUCGCUGACCUCACCUACUCCUCUACCAGCCCUUCCUCCAGGGCUCUUCUCUAGGAGCUCUUUGCUACUGCCAGACCAAGACUGCCUGUGCUGGUGGUGCCGUUGUGCAUGCAGCCUUUGACUCAUUUCCUUGAACUUCCCACCACCAUCAGCCCCAGGACGGUCCCAGCAGCAAGGAUGAGCCCCAUGGAUGGCGCCUUCUUGGGUGAUGCAACACGAUGGUGUUGGGAUGGGGUCCAUGGCUCUGUUGUCCAUCUGCCAGCACCUUGGACAGGAAUCAUUUGCUCUCUCACAGACUUAUUUUUAGGCAAGAGAAACGUGAAGCUUGCGCAAAUGUUUAAACACAUGUCUCUCUUGAAUUAUUCAGUGUACUUUGCCUGCUUCUGGAGUUAAUUAAAAUGGAGGGCAGUCGAUAGCGAGCUCUCAAUUCACCGUAGGGAGGAAGCAGCAAACUGUGGCAGACAAAGUGCUGAUAACCACCUUCCCUCCCCACCCCUCCUGCACCACAAGCUGCCACACCGUAACUGCUGUGCUCCCUUGGCAGUGGUGACCAGAUGCAGCAGAGCACCAAAUCUUAACAAGUUUGCCUUAAUUUAAGGAAACCAGUGUAUGCACAGCACUAGGGACUAACAUGUCCCGAGCUGUGUUUGAGGCUGCAGUGCUUGAUUUCAGAAGGUCCAGGGAACCACCCAAAAAGAGAGUUGUUUCCCUCCUGAACAGCCUCACACCUUUCCCCCAGCCCCAUUUUCUGCUACGGUUGAAUGUGGCUUUUUCCAGUGUCAGAUGCACAUCCCUGUGCAUCACAAAAAACCCUGACUAAGGGCAGCUCUUGUCCUCUUGAAGUCAAUGGGGAACUUGAGAUUGGGAUCAGAAUUUCACCUCUCAUUUGAAGUAUAGGCCUGAGCCACAGCCCUUUGGAGUCAAGAGGGGUUCUUCCUCUGGCUCCAGCAGUGUUUGGUCCCAGAAAGCUUGGAACGUUAGCCCAACAUAAAUCCAUCAUCUCAUGUAAGAGUGUAUUAAUCCACCCACAGAUCCAUGCCCCCCUCCUGCUCCCAUGAAAGGUUAUGAAGAGCAAAUUACGUACCAAGCUGCACAACCUUGACUUCAUCAUCUGCCUGAAUACAGAAAUGAUAGCAGUAACUUUGGUACUGUACCACACAGAAACACUCGGUUUCUGAGGAGUUUUUUUGUCCACAAUCAAACACUAAUUAAAGUCACCAUUUCCCUUUGUGAAUCACAUGAAUGACAAAAAUGCAGGGUUUACAUAUUAUUCAACAACUCAGCUAGUAUUUAUCUCCAAAAGAUGAGAUACAGUCAGAAAUAUUUUAUGCAUAGAGCAGAAAUGAUUGUGUCGUCCUCUGUUCACGGUACUCCUGGGGACUACUUUUCCCGGUAACAGGCAGGUGUAAUUGCCAUUACUGUAACUGCAGUGUUUGCACUGGGUGGAAAAGGAGCCCUCACCUGCAAACAGGAGCAAGAACAUCAUCACAGCACUCUGCUGAGAAUAGCAAGAGCGGGAAUGCAGCUCCAACACAUCGAUCCAAUUUUACUCAAAGAAAAUACUGCCACAGUUGAGCUGAGCAUAUUUGUAAUGAAUGAAUAAUGCUGAAUUAUUGUCAAACUCAGGAGAUUUUGCAGGCGGGGUGCUCUAACUGAGCAGGUUUGGAGCUGGCAUGCCAAGAAGGUAUCUCUGCACCUGAAGAAAAUCAACGUUGCACAGCUGAGCCCCCAACAUUUCUGAUCACACAGACUUCACCAGAGCCUUCAUCCACUUGGUUUUUUCAUUCCACUUUGUCCAACAUCUCCAGGUUCACAUUCAGAAAUUGCUUAACCUGACCUAAAACCAAGUUACAUUCUGGUUCAUCUAACAUUUGCACAUAUCGGGACAUUCCAAUUAGGCUACUUGAUUUGUAAAGAUCUUUAAUCAAGAAGGUCUGGAUUAAAGUUCAAAUGCUCUGUGCUAGCCAGAAACGAUUUGAAUGAACAGUAAUUAAAACACAGUCUGAUUCAUACAGGGCACUGCUGGACUUCGAAAAGACAACUGUGUGCUUGAAACUCUGUUGGGAAUGAUUCUUUUUAUUUUAGUACAACUGAAACGAGGCUUUUUGGUACCGAUGGUUCACUCUGAACAGUAACAGGAGUCACAUUUUUUUUUU